rnacentral:lncRNA from 1 species
UAAAAUUUUUUUUUAAAAUAACAAAAAAUAAUAUGAAAACAAAAAUUGUGAAUAGAGUUCGACAUAAUAAUCAUAAAGGGUGGUGUAAAAAGUGGGAUUAUUUUGAAUAUUAUUCAUGCCCUGCUGUACGUUCAAUUCAAAUUUGAUCUCCAUUCUCAUAACUUUAGCGUGACUUGACAUUAUGUUAUAAAACAAGUACACAAUACUGAAUAUUACAUAACCCCGAUCAAGUUUAAAUUUUGUUGCAACACUUUUACUUUUUUGGAAUUGUGCCCCUUAAUAUGAAACAAAGGUAUCAAUUAAUAUUCAAUGUACAUGAACUUUUAAUUUUUCUAUGUUUUUGUCGAGCCUUCGACUUUAGUCGAAAAAGCGAGACUAAGCAAUCCUACAUUCCGGCGUCGGCGGCGGCGUCCACAAAUAUUCACUCUGUGGUUAAAGUUUUUGAAAUUUUAAUAACUUUCUUAAACUUUACUGGAUUUCUACCAAACUUGGACAGAAGCUUGUUUAUGAUCAUAAGAAAGUAUCCAGAAGUAAAUUUUGUAAAAAUAAAAUUCCAUUUUUUCCGUAUUUUACUUAUAAAUGGACUUAUUUUACUUAUAAAUGGCCGACUUGAUCAAAUCUAUCAGAUUUUAUAAAGAGUUGUCUUCUCCUAGAUGCAUUACCUCCCAAGGCUGAUGAUUUUCAUCUAAUUAGUGACUAACCUAUAACUGGAGCAAGGUUAAUGAGUGCUAGGUCAUGUCCACAGACAAGGUGCCUCACACUACACCUAGGGUCCCUUCUAAUCAGAUGAUCUGGGUCUACAGUUAUGCCUAGGAUACUAGAUCUUAGUAACCAUAUGCUGUCACAAUGAGGCGCUGUAGAAGUCUUCAUAGUGGAGAGACUAUGUACUGGCAAGAAAAACUAGAACUAGGAUUCACAUACAAAUAGGCUAGCUAGAAGCAGUGGAAAAGUGAUUCCCUAUCACAGAAGAUACAUAGACAAACCUGUGGUAACACCAUCAGCACAAAAUUUGUGUUCCCAUGAAAAUUGGUAUUCAAUGAAAAAUAAUAAUAUAACUCUAUGAAUACUAAAAAAAUUGAGAGAUUGAUUAACUGAUUGGUGUUUAAUGCCACUUUCAUCUCUUUUGGCUAUUUUCAGGACAGUCAGUGCACAUGAAAACCUCUUGUUUUUAUUUAAGUUUGAAAUCUGUAGCCUUGUAUAUGGAGAAAACAAUGCCAUGCUUUCUGCUAAUGAAAACUCUCUCAUCAUUGAGGUGUCCAGUCAGGAGGGCACUUUGAAUCUGAGGCCUUAUAUAUGGAGAGAACAAUUGAAAACAUUUACUUGAAA